rnacentral:rRNA from 1 species
CGGAGGAUCCAAGCGUUAUCCGGAAUCAUUGGGUUAAAGGGUCCGUAGGCGGUUUUGUAAGUCAGUGGUGAAAGCCCAUCGCUCAACGGUGGAACGGCCAUUGAUACUGCAAGACUUGAAUUAUUAGGAAGUAACUAGAAUAUGUAGUGUAGCGGUGAAAUGCUUAGAUAUUACAUGGAAUACCAAUUGCGAAGGCAGGUUACUACUAGUGGAUUGACGCUGAUGGACGAAAGCGUGGGGAGCGAACAGGAUUAGAUACCCUGGUAGUCCACGCCGUAAACGAUGGAUACUAGCUGUUCGGAGCAAUCUGAGUGGCUAAGCGAAAGUGAUAAGUAUCCCACCUGGGGAGUACGUUCGCAAGAAUG